rnacentral:rRNA from 1 species
UACGUAGGGUGCAAGCGUUAAUCGGAAUUACUGGGCGUAAAGCGUGCGCAGGCGGUGAUGUAAGACAGUUGUGAAAUCCCCGGGCUCAACCUGGGAACUGCAUCUGUGACUGCAUCGCUGGAGUACGGCAGAGGGGGAUGGAAUUCCGCGUGUAGCAGUGAAAUGCGUAGAUAUGCGGAGGAACACCGAUGGCGAAGGCAAUCCCCUGGGCCUGUACUGACGCUCAUGCACGAAAGCGUGGGGAGCAAA